rnacentral:rRNA from 1 species
GCCAUACCACCCUGAACGCACCCUGUCUCGUCUGAUCUUGGAAGCUAAACGGGCAGGCCUGGUUAGUAAUUGAAUGGGAGAACCACUGUCCUGGAGGAAAAGAGUGCCAAUCUGGGAAAACCUGUGGC